CCAGUUUGGUUUUAUCUGAUGAAGCAAAGCAGAGAAAAUAGACCUACAGUCCAUAUGCUUCAGUCUAUUGUGUCUUGAUCUAAGAAGAGAUGCAGAACAGAUGCUAAGAAGACUUAGACGCAAUGAGCCCCAGAAACAGCUGGAGUGCAGUGGCGUGAUCUUGGCUCAUCGCAACCUCCGCCUCCUGGGUGCAAGCGAUUCACCUGCCUCAGACUCCGGAAGACCUGAGAUUACAGGGGGUAUCCAGUACAAUGAUGAAUAGAAAUGGAUAAAGCAGAAACACUUGUGUUAUUCUCAAUUCCAGAGAUAUCCUUUACCAAAUAAAGAAAAUUCUCUUCACCAAGAAAUGGAUCAUGGUGGUAUUCUGAUCCGAGACUUCUAGAUUCCAAAACUGUGAGAAAAAAAAAUGUCUGCUGUUUAAGCCACCUUGUCUUUGGUGACAACCCAGGCUGAUUAAGACAGUUAUCAUAUAUUAUUUAUUUACAUAUUACUAGAUUCUAUGUAACAUUUUGUUAAGUUUUAUGUUUACAAGUUAUUUCAUAUUUUAUGUCAAGUUUUUUUAAGGGUUUUAUAAAGAUUUUGCUGCCCUCAUGAAACAAUUAGGUAACAUUUUUCUAUGUUGUGAAAGUAAAAUUGGUAUCAUAUCUUCUUAAAUAAUUGAUUUAAAUUAAAAUUUACCAGUAAAAUUACUGAUGUCUUGAAUUUCUUUGUAGGAAGACUUAUGGGAGUAGAUUCAGUUUAUUUUACAGGUGUUUCCUGUCACUUUUCUGGUGAAUUCCAGUGUUCUUUCUUAGAUGACCUAUUUAGAGUGU